rnacentral:lncRNA from 1 species
CAUCCAUCCCUCCCAAAUUCGAUGAAAUUUGCAAACGGUGGGUUCAAAAGGUGUUUGAAGCUAGCAACCUUAUUAGUGGAUUAGGAACCUGCCUGCAGUAUGUAUGGAUACAUUAUUAUUAUUAUUAUAGCAUAGGGGAGGGAGGAGGAAUACGGUUCAGCUCAAACAUGAACUGGCCAUUGCUUGGCGCUUCUCUCGCUCAAAAUGGAAAAACUGUUUCCCCAAGUUCAAAUGAGAAAUUUUCCAAACAUUAUGCAAAGUUAGUUCUGGAAACAUUACUAAAUCAACAUUUCUGCAUUUUGCAAAUAAAUAAUAAUAAUAAUCACACAUUCAAUAGUAGACUUGAAAAAAUUAUAUAUGAAACCUAACUAAGAGAAGAAUGGUACAACCACCAUGGACACACACAGAAGAAUACAACAAAUGUCUACCUCUAGUCUUCACCGCGGAAUUUGUGUAUAACCAUGUCCACAUGAGAAUGCAGAACAGGGAUUUUUACUUGCUGUCCUAGCUUAUUAGCUAUAACUUCUUCUUCCCUGUUAACAAAGUUUAACAAAAGUGCUCCUAAAUCUGAACGGAAAAGCAUA